rnacentral:lncRNA from 1 species
AAAAAAUAAAAAAUUCCAAAUAUGCAAGACCAAAAAUUCAAAAACACAAAAAACCCUAUCACAAGACCACAAAACCACAAGACCAACUCUCAUCUUCUCCAUCUUCCAAAACCCACAAGACAUUUCUCCUUCCUCCUCCAUUAACCCACAAAACCUAGAAAUUCAAAAUCAUCAAAACUCAACAAAUCUUACAAAGAUGGCAAGUAUGGAG